rfam:Populus trichocarpa scaffold_13_contig_241, whole genome shotgun sequence.
UCUAGAACUUGAGAUAUGAGUUGAAAACCAAACAGUGUUUGGGCUGCAGAACAGAUUCUGACUUCUCCGUUGUUGCUAAGAUUUGAACUUGAAAACGAAUGAUUUGAAUCUUGCACUCCCCAUGAAAGUUUUAGGCCUAUGUCUUAGCUUUUUAUA